UAAAAUGGAGUGGUGUUGAAAUGAUUCAAAGGUAAAAGUGAAUUGAUGAUUGAUGCAAGAAUUAAACAUGGAUGGAGUUCACAGCAAAGGUUUGUUAUGGUACAAGGAACCCUUAAUUUGUGUCCUAAAAUGCAUGUGAAACCUUCAAUGUUGCUAGAACUUAGGGACAUUUAGGAUUUAGGAAAGAUAAAACCAAAAUAGGAAACCUUGGCUUAACUUUCCUACUUCAAGUAGGAAUCCUCAUCUUUAGGUCUUCAAUUUCAUCCAUUCCUUUAGUUGCAAGCAUGUGAUAUUUAUUCCAAGCCCAAAAUUGCUCCAGAAGGCUCCAAAAUGCACAUUUUUGCAUACUUUGUCCUUAGAACCUGAAAUUGCACAAAAAUGACUUUAAACACUAAAACAACUAAGGAAUAACAACAUAAAUGCAUGAGAACAAGCUAACUCAGUCGCAUAAAUAUGCUCUUAUUAAAUUCCCCCACACUUAGCUUUUGCUAGUCCUCGAGCAAAACAAAAGAGACAAACGAAUCAAAACAAACAGAACACAACUUAACCUUCCAACAUUUGCCUCAGGGAUUUCCAAUGCACAUGACAUGUUAAAAAUCAUCAUUCCCACAACUUUUAGUCAUCUUCACACUUGAGCACAUACUUAAUUACAGUCACCACUUACUAGUUCGCAAUUAACCAAUUAAAAUGAUAUUUUGAAUGUAGUAACAUGCCUUAGAGAAUUUGCUCAAUUCCUUACAAGAUACUCUCUAUUUUCACACACAUUUUCUGACUACAAACCCUACACUAGUUAUAUGUGAGCAGAAUGAUGUAAACAUGGAAGACUAGUACUCACAUAUGUUAUAACAAAGAAAGCAAUUUCUGGAGUUAAUAAGCAUGUUUAGAUAUGAUUUCAUGAAUGGAAUGCUACUACUUAGAUGCGAGAACCAGUGACACCAUAUGCUCAUACCAAUUUCAAACUCCACGAAUUGAAACACACAACACUCAAGAUUGAAGUCAAGGGUUGUAACGGGGCUUGGGGGUAAUGGCUAACAAAGAAAGGAUAGCAAUAACAAACGUUCUUAAAGCGAUAGCAAGCAAAGCAAUGAAAUAGACACUUGGAAUUCACUUUAGAAUGCAGAAUCAAAUUUUAAAUACAAAGGGAAGAUUCAUGCAAUACUUAGACCGAAUUCAAUGUUUUGGACCCUUUUUUAACAAACUUUUUUCUUUUCACUCUUUUUUUUUUCUUUUCUACCCGUGCCUUAUUAAGGACUUUGGUACACACACACACACACAAGAAUCACUUCCCCCACACUUGCUUUCUGCAAUACAUUGAUAAAAAAAGAGUUCAUUUUAAGUUAUGCUUUACUAUGCUUCAAGAACAAGGGUAUGGAUGGUCCUAAAACUAGGCUAGGUAAGGAUAGUGUGGAUUAACAAAGAACAUAGGCUUAACGGGGUUAAACUUAAACACAUAAUGAAAUAGGGGCACGACAAUUUGG
rnacentral:lncRNA from 1 species